AUAUGUGAUCAUGAGCUUGUGGGUGAUGUCCUCAGUCUAUCCUGAGUCAUUCAGAGAAGGUUCAGCUGGAAGAAACUCAUGGUCUAUGUGUACUACAUAGAAUCAAAUCCUCUUCUUCCCCUGAACACAGAGAGUGAUUGUGGUGAGUGAAAAGUGAGUCCACGUGGACUGGAGGAGUUGGGCAGGUUUUACAGAGUGGGGGUUGUGUAAGACAGACAAGGAUGAGAAGACAGCUCAGGGCAUCAUGUAUGGAAUGAACUGGAAAAAGAUUGGAGACAGAGAAACUGCUGCAUUACAGGGUAGCAGGGAUGCAAAGGGAGAGCCCACUUGAAAAUGAUUCUUUAUGGAGAUUGGAUGUGGAGAGAGGAAGGGGAAGGGGUAGUGAGAGAAGAGGAGGAAGAUUUGGGUUUCUAGAUUUGUAUGAUGGUGAUUCCCUUAACCUGAGACAAGUAAUGUAGGUUUGGGAGAAACUUGGUGACUUUGACUUUGAUCAGGACUAGAGCCCUGACUCUGACUUUGAACUGGAGCCCUUUGAACUCUAGCCCUGAAAAGGGUCAGGGCUAGAGAUGAAGGUUGAGAAGUCAUUAGAUAGGGGAGUGUGUAUUCAAACCAGGAGUCCAGAAUGAGCUUGUCCAGAAAAGAGUAUAGACUAGGAAGAGAGAAGGGGUACAGCA
ensembl:lncRNA ZNRF3-IT1 ZNRF3 intronic transcript 1